rnacentral:rRNA from 1 species
UUGGAGGGCAAGUCUGGUGCCAGCAGCCGCGGUAAUUCCAGCUCCAAUAGCGUAUAUUAAAGUUGUUGCAGUUAAAAAGCUCGUAGUUGAAUUUCGGGGUUCAUCCGUUGGUCGGGCUUUUUUGGUCUGUACUGGCGUGAUGGAUUCCUACCUUCUGAAUAACCAGCAUGUCAUUAAUUUGGUGCGCUGGGGAAGCAGGACUGUUACCUUGAAAAAAUUAGAGUGCUUAAAGCAGGCUAUCGCCUGAAUACAUUAGCAUGGAAUAAUGAAAUAGGGCGGCAUGGUUCUAUUUUGUUGGUUUCUAGGAUCACCGUAAUGAUUAAUAGGGAUAGUUGGGGGCAUUAGUAUUCAAUUGUCAGAGGUGAAAUUCUUGGAUUUAUUGAAGACUAGCUUCUGCGAAAGCAUUUGCCAAGGAUGUUUUCAUUAAUCAAGAACGAAAGUUAGGGGAUCGAAGACGAUCAGAUACCGUCGUAGUCUUAACCAUAAACUAUGCCGACUAGGGAUCGGACGAUGUUAAUUUUUUAAUGACUCGUUCGGCGCCUUACGGGAAAC